rnacentral:rRNA from 1 species
UACGUAGGGUGCAAGCGUUAAUCGGAAUUACUGGGCGUAAAGCGUGCGCAGGCGGUUCGCCAAGUCAGGUGUGAAAUCCCCGGGCUUAACCUGGGAAUUGCGCUUGAAACUAGCGGGCUUGAGUGCGGCAGAGGGGGGUGGAAUUCCACGUGUAGCAGUGAAAUGCGUAGAGAUGUGGAGGAACACCGAUGGCGAAGGCAGCCCCCUGGGCCGAUACUGACGCUGAGGAGCGAAAGCGUGGGGAGCGAACAGG